ensembl:lincRNA
AUUUGCUCAGACUCAAACUGCGGUAAAGCCACAGCCAGAUCACUAGACUGAACAUUUUGUAUUGACUUUCAAACUCUGUGAAACAGAUCCUAAAUAUCACUCAAACUGGUUGCUGGUCAGAUGUGGACAGGAACCCAUAAUUAGAGUCAGAAGCCUUGGGUUCAGUCUCAAAACUCUCACUAACAAAUGUGUGAGUCAGGGUGAGGUACUGCUGUGGACCUCCAUCUCCCUAACAGGGAAAUGGAUGUAUUUGCUUCACAGCGUUGCUGGAUGGAAGGAGGUAAUGAUGGGGAGACAUUUGAUAGCUGGGAAGCUCUUAGCAAAUUGUUAAUAUCAUUAUCAAAAUGUAUUCUAAGGGGAUGCUUGGGCAAGCAUGCUGUUUUCUUGUGGUAUGAAUGUUUAUUCACUAUUUUCUGUUUUAUAUUUUAGCCUGAGUUAAUAGUUUUUAAUGAACAUUUCUUCCCCCUCAUUAAAGAGCUAGUAUGGCAGUUAGUAUUUUCCAGAGAUAGCCAUACCAAGGUAUAGCCCAUCCUCCACGCUGCUCUUACACUGGGGACAUUUUUAUAAUGAGACACACCUGCAUUGAAGCAGAGGUCUGUGUUUCCUCCCCUUGAACCUGGGCAGGCUUUUGUAACUGCCUUGACUCACUGAAAGUGCAGAAAUGGCAGUGCGCAAGGAGGAAUGCAGAGUUAGAAAGGAAAAGUCUAGAUUUCGGGGUGUUUCCUGCAGAGAACAGAAACCCUCCCUGGGAGGAGACACUGCUGUGGCUUUUACUUUUCUGGUUUUACACUGUGGUCCUAUUCACUUUUCAGAUUUCUUCAUUAAAACCUUCCCCCAAAGAGGAAAGCCUAUGUCUAGGAGCCACCCUGACAAGUUAAAGCUGAGAGUUGGAUCACUAGAGGGCAAUAUCGGCCAAGAGAAAGAAGAAUUCUUCACCACCGUUUCUAGGACUGGUGAAGCAAAAGUCAUCUCCCAUGUAACCACAUGCUUCAGGAGAAGCUGA